AUGAUGGAGAGUUUGAUCCUGGCUCAGGACGAACGCUGGCGGCGUGGAUUAGGCAUGCAAGUCGAACGGUAGAUAUCCUUUCGGGGAUAUUGAGAGUGGCGAACGGGUGAGUAACACGUAGAUUAUCUACCUUCAAAUGGGGGACAACCCAGGGAAACUUGGGCUAAUACCGCAUGAGUGUGGCGCAUAAUAUAUCUAUUGUUGAGAGAUCAGCGAUUGGGCAUAUUAUGCGUCAUAUAAAAGGUGGCCGCAAGGCUGUCGUUUGGAGAUGAGUUUGCGUUCUAUUAGCUAGUUGGUGUGGUAAUGGCAUACCAAGGCGAUGAUAGAUAGGCGGCCUUAACGGGUGGUCGCCCACACUGGGAUUGAGAUACGGCCCAGACUCCUACGGGAGGCAGCAGUCGAGAAUAGUCUACAAUGGACGAAAGUCUGAUAGUGCGACGCCGCGUGAACGAUGAAUCCCUUCGGGGUGUAAAGUUCUUUUAUAUGUGAGCAAUGCCUUAUAUAUUAAUAGUAUAUAGGGAGAGAUAUUAGCAUAUGAAUAAGCAACGGCUAACUCCGUGCCAGCAGCCGCGGUAACACGGGGGUUGCAAGCGUUGUCCGGAAUUACUAGGCGUAAAGGGCAGGUAGGCGGAACUAUAAGUUUGAUGUUAAAGGCAGCGGCUCACCCGCUGUAAGGCAUCAGAUACUGUAGAUCUGGAAUGCGGUUGAGGAAGACAGAAUUCCUGGUGUAGCGGUGGAAUGCGCAGAGAUCAGGAGGAAUACCGAAUGCGAAGGCAGUCUUCUAAGCCGUUAUUGACGCUAAACUGCGAAGGUGUGGGUAUCAAACAGGAUUAGAUACCCUGGUAGUCCACACAGUAAACGAUAAUCACUAGGUGUCGGGUUCGAAGAGGAUU
rnacentral:rRNA from 1 species